AGACGACUAAAGCAGAGGCCUCCAAACAAUGCUUUGGGCGUUCAGCAUCGUGGCCCUGACUUCCUUUAUGGAAAGUUCCUACUCGUCUCCAGGACCUGAGAGGACAAGCCUGGAGCGGUUGGCAGCCCAGGGCAUGUGAAGUCUGAGGAGAAGUGAGUCCACAUGAAGAAAAGGAGAGCCAAGGGGAGGACAGACCCAGGGCCCUCACAGGCUUGAGCCCUGGAACAAGUUGGUCCCAAAGCUGAUCGUGCCCAGGUUUUUUCAGACAUCAGACAAUAAGUCCCUUUUUUGUUUAACAUUCUGUGACUGAGGGGCGCCUGGGUGGCUCAGUCGUUAAGCGUCUGCCUUCGGCUCAGGGCGUGAUCCCGGAGUCCUGGGAUCGAGCCCCACAUCAGGCUCCUCUGCUGGGAGGCUGCUUCUUCCUCCCUCACUCCCCCUGCUUGUGUUCCCCCUCUCGCUGGCUGUCUCUAUCUCUGUU
rnacentral:lncRNA from 1 species